CGUAACAAGGUCUCCGUAGGUGAACCUGCGGNNGGAUCAUUACACAAAUAUGAAGGCGGGCUGGAACCUCUCGGGGUUACAGCCUUGCUGAAUUAUUCACCCUUGUCUUUUGCGUACUUCUUGUUUCCUUGGUGGGUUCGCCCACCACUAGGACAAACAUAAACCUUUUGUAAUUGCAAUCAGCGUCAGUAACAAAUUAAUAAUUACAACUUUCAACAACGGAUCUCUUGGUUCUGGCAUCGAUGAAGAACGCAGCGAAAUGCGAUAAGUAGUGUGAAUUGCAGAAUUCAGUGAAUCAUCGAAUCUUUGAACGCACAUUGCGCCCUUUGGUAUUCCAAAGGGCAUGCCUGUUCGAGCGUCAUUUGUACCCUCAAGCUUUGCUUGGUGUUGGGCGUCUUGUCUCUAGCUUUGCUGGAGACUCGCCUUAAAGUAAUUGGCAGCCGGCCUACUGGUUUCGGAGCGCAGCACAAGUCGCACUCUCUAUCAGCAAAUGUCUAGCAUCCAUUAAGCCUUUUUUUCAACUUUUGACCUCGGAUCAGGUAGGGAUACCCGCUGAACUUAAGCAUAUCA
rnacentral:rRNA from 1 species